rnacentral:rRNA from 1 species
CAGGCCUAACACAUGCAAGUCGAACGGUAGCACAGAGAGCUUGCUCUCGGGUGACGAGUGGCGGACGGGUGAGUAAUGUCUGGGAAACUGCCUGAUGGAGGGGGAUAACUACUGGAAACGGUAGCUAAUAUCGCAUAACGUCGCAAGACCAAAGAGGGGGACCUUCGGGCCUCUUGCCAUCAGAUGUGCCCAGAUGGGAUUAGCUAGUAGGUGGGGUAACGGCUCACCUAGGCGACGAUCCCUAGCUGGUCUGAGAGGAUGACCAGCCACACUGGAACUGAGACACGGUCCAGACUCCUACGGGAGGCAGCAGUGGGGAAUAUUGCACAAUGGGCGCAAGCCUGAUGCAGCCAUGCCGCGUGUAUGAAGAAGGCCUUCGGGUUGUAAAGUACUUUCAGCGGGGAGGAAGGCGAUAAGGUUAAUAACCUUGUCGAUUGACGUUACCCGCAGAAGAAGCACCGGCUAACUCCGUGCCAGCAGCCGCGGUAAU